AUUGAACGCUGGCGGCAUGCUUUAUACAUGCAAGUCGAACGGUAACAGGCCGCACUUUGCUGUCGGGUGGCGAACGGGGGCGUAAUGCUACCACACGUGCCCAGUCCCGGGGGAUAACUACUCGCUAGAGUAGCUAAUACCUCAUACGAGCUAUGGAUGAAAGCGGGGGGGCGUAAGGCCUCGCGCGAUUUUUGCUGCCGAUUUUAGAUUAGUUAGUGUCUGGUUUGAUAGUUGGCCAGGUAAAGGCUUACCAAGGCAACGAUGUGUAGCCGGUCUGAGAGGGCGACCAGCCACACUGGAACUGAGACACGGCCCAGACUCCUACGGGAGGCAGCAGUGGGGAAUUUUGGACAAUGGGCGAAAGCCUGAUGCAGCAAUGCCGCGUGCAGGAAGAAGGCCUUCGGGUUGUAAACUGCUUUUGUACGGAACGAAACGGCUCUGGUUAAUACCUGGGGCUAAUGACGGUACCGUAAGAAUAAGCCCCGGCUAACUACGUG
rnacentral:rRNA from 1 species